rnacentral:rRNA from 1 species
UCUACGGGGGCUGCAGUGGGGAAUAUUGGACAAUGGGCGAAAGCCUGAUCCAGCCAUGCCGCGUGUGUGAAGAAGGCCUUCGGGUUGUAAAGCACUUUCAGUGGGGAAGAAAGCCUUGGGGCUAAUACCCUCGAGGAAGGACAUCACCCACAGAAGAAGCACCGGCUAACUCCGUGCCAGCAGCCGCGGUAAUACGGAGGGUGCGAGCGUUAAUCGGAAUUACUGGGCGUAAAGCGCGCGUAGGCGGUCUGAUAAGCCGGUUGUGAAAGCCCCGGGCUCAACCUGGGAACGGCAUCCGGAACUGUCAGGCUAGAGUGCAGGAGAGGAAGGUAGAAUUCCCGGUGUAGCGGUGAAAUGCGUAGAGAUCGGGAGGAAUACCAGUGGCGAAGGCGGCCUUCUGGACUGACACUGACGCUGAGGUGCGAAAGCGUGGGUAGCAAACAGGAUUAGAUACCCGGGUAGUC